CAACAAUAUCGAUUUCCUGUGCAUGAGGUAGAUUCCUGUCCAAAAACUGAAGAAACGUGGCACAGAGUUGGCUUUAACAUGAACUGCUCCUAUGAUGUCAAAGGGAGAUUCCAGUACCAGUGCAUUCCUAACAGGCAUAAAACAGCUCUAUUAGAGUUCUGCUAUGACCGCAUUAUGGGUUUAUAUGAAAAAGGGAACUGUUUACAUCUAUCAAACUCUAGAAUACUUAAUCAAGCAGACUGUACAACAUUCAUAAAAGGUUGUCCAAAGCAACCUUACUUCAGCAGCGAUAUAUAUCUUCAUUCAAAAUGUCUUGAAAUAAACACUCAAAGGAGGUGUUAAUUUGAAGCUCCUUAUUGCCCUCCCCUUGAUCAACA